rnacentral:sRNA from 1 species
ACCCUAAAGAAAACCUCCUACAAGGAAG